UUUGGCUUUAAUACACCCUAUUGGGCUUAGGUAUCACAAGAAACUCAAGGCAGUAGUUGCUCUGAAAUGUAUCAGGCCCAAUCCUGCAAUUCUUGCAGGGCAGAGCUCCCAUUGACUUCAGACAAGGACUGCAGGAUGCCCAUUCUUUCCCACCCAGCUAAACUGCUUAGAUGCUAUUCCAAAUAUGCAGAACAUCCCCAGAAUGAGAACUUUGACAGAGUUUUCUGGAUUGGUCUCUUUGCCAGAGGAGGAGGAAGCUUGGGGCUGGGUGAACCAACAGAUCCAUCCCAGACUUGGCGUGGUCAAUGGUGGCCCUUGUCUGCCUACUAGUCUAUCUGAUUGGGCUUUCUAUAAAGCUCAUCCUUAAGUGAAAGGCUCAUGACAUUUCAACACUGAAAAGAAAAAUCUGUUGCAAAUCUCUAAGGACGAGCAUCCUUGUGGUCCCUGAGUGAUUACUGCUUGCAAGUAUACAGUAUUAUCAGUAGUUCAUGGUUUAUCAAUGCAGAUACAGUAUGAACAUUUUGUGGGCUAUGAUAUUUGAACACAUAUAAUUACUGCUACUAAAUCACUCUAACUCCAUUAAUUUCAGCAGAGCUAGAACAACUGAGAACAUGGAUGGCUUUGUGGGACUGGACUCAGCCAGCCUCAUGCAGUCAGUUUUCAUUCGUUGGCCCAGCAAGCUCCCUGGAAGGACAGCUGAAACUGUCUAAGUGCUCUAAAUCAUACAUUAAAUUUGGAAAGUGACCCUUUUGAAGAAUACAAGCAGAGUCUCACCUGCUAUGAAUUCUGUGGAAAUAUUAUGAUGUUUAAUACCGAACAAUUGAAUCACUGCAGAUAAGUUAAUUUAAAACAGCUGAAGUUCUACAAUCCAUUUAUUUUUGAAAUAUUUUGAAUUUUUCCUUUUCUGUUUUGGUGCUCCCUGCUUGCUCAGUUGCUCUUAAUUUGGUAUAUGAACAAUGGGAAAGGAGCAAAGUCAAAUAGCAAAACCUUGCCUCAGUACAAUUUCCAUGCUGAAUUUAGUUUGUCAUGGUUCAUGGCUGUUCCAGGGUCUGUUAUAGAUGAGACAAAUAUUCACAAAGAUGAACAAUUAUGAAUUUUAGAGCCCAUGGCAGCUUAUUCUUUUGAUAGUAGAAGCUGACCCUGUUUUGUUUUCCAUCUAAUACUCUUGUCAUUUACAAAAGCUUAAUCAUCCAAGCAGGAGUGACUCAGUUUUAUUUGUGCUUUUGCAUACACUUCUCUUUGUGCAAUGACUGACACUAGGUCAGACUGACGCUAAGGUCUGAGCGACACUCAAUUGGAGUUGUUUUUUAUUGGACCUGAUGACUCCUGAGCUUUUUUGCUUUUCUUGACAGCCUGGCUGUGCUGAUGGUUGCCAAUUCCUGGAUUUAAAAGCAGUCUGACCAGCCAGUAGGGAAAGUUAUUCUGAACUGUUUGAUGCAAACUAUUACACAACUGCUAUAUGGCUGUCAUUCAUGAACUGACUGAAUAGGAAAAACAUGUCUAUGAGAGAAUAUUAAUACCAAUUGAUGUGACAUCUGUAAUGGUCUAACAAGUAUUAAGUAUUAUAUUGCUGGACGAGAAACAUUUCACAAAAAGCUGCAGUGUAUCCAAUUUAAACUGAUGUAAUGGAAAGGACCUGUCAAGUGGUUUGUUCCAUAGGUUGAGAAUUUCCUCCUUCCUAAAAAAAAUAAAUAUAUAUAUAUAUAAUAAAAUAAAAUAAAU
rnacentral:lncRNA from 1 species